AGCUCUUUCUUGAUUCGGUGGGUGGUGGUGCAUGGCCGUUCUUAGUUGGUGGAGCGAUUUGUCUGGUUAAUUCCGAUAACGAACGAGACUCUAGCCUGCUAAAUAGGUGGCGGGUUUAAAAAUUUUUGGGGGGCGGUCGAGUGCGGGAUCAGGGGUCUGGUGGGCGGUGGUGCCGGCUGUCUGCCGUCCGAGGUCCUCCGGGGUCGAGGGCGGCGGGCCGGUCUGCGUCUCCGUCCGCCGGGCUCCCCUGUACGAGGCUCCCCCCGCGUCCGUCACAGCUCUUCUUAGAGGGACAAGCGGCGUUUAGCCGCGUGACAGUGAGCAAUAACAGGUCUGUGAUGCCCUUAGAUGUCCUGGGCCGCACGCGCGCUACACUGAAGGAAUCAGCGUGUUUUUCUCCCCCUGUCCGAAAGGACCGGGUAACCGCUGAACCUCCUUCGUG
rnacentral:rRNA from 1 species